rnacentral:rRNA from 1 species
AGUGAACGCUGGCGGUAGGCCUAACACAUGCAAGUCGAACGGCAGCACAGUAAGAGCUUGCUCUUACGGGUGGCGAGUGGCGGACGGGUGAGGAAUACAUCGGAAUCUACUUUUUCGUGGGGGAUAACGUAGGGAAACUUACGCUAAUACCGCAUAGGACCUACGGGUGAAAGCCGGGGAUCUUCGGACCUUGCGCGAUUGAAUGGGCCGAUGUCGGAUUAGCUAGUUGGCGGGGUAAAGGCCCACCAAGGCGACGAUCCGUAGCUGGUCUGAGAGGAUGAUCAGCCACACUGGAACUGAGACACGGUCCAGACUCCUACGGGAGGCAGCAGUGGGGAAUAUUGGACAAUGGGCGCAAGCCUGAUCCAGCCAUACCGCGUGGGUGAAGAAGGCCUUCGGGUUGUAAAGCCCUUUUGUUGGGAAAGAAAAGCAGCAGGUUAAUACCCCGCUGUUCUGACGGUACCCAAAGAAUAAGCACCGGCUAACUUCGUG